rnacentral:rRNA from 1 species
GACGAACGCUGGCGGCGUGCUUAACACAUGCAAGUCGAACGGAAAGGCCCUGCUUUUGUGGGGUGCUCGAGUGGCGAACGGGUGAGUAACACGUGAGUAACCUGCCCUUGACUUUGGGAUAACUUCAGGAAACUGGGGCUAAUACCGGAUAGGAGCUCCUGCUGCAUGGUGGGGGUUGGAAAGUUUCGGCGGUUGGGGAUGGACUCGCGGCUUAUCAGCUUGUUGGUGGGGUAGUGGCUUACCAAGGCUUUGACGGGUAGCCGGCCUGAGAGGGUGACCGGCCACAUUGGGACUGAGAUACGGCCCAGAAUCCUACGGGAGGCAGCAGUGGGGAAUAUUGCACAAUGGUCGGAAGCCUGAUGCAGUAACGCCGCGUGCGGGAUGACGGCCUUCGGGUUGUAAACCGCUUUCGCCUGUGACGAAGCGUGAGUGACGGUAAUGGGUAAAGAAGCACCGGCUAACUACGUG